AAAUAUAAUAUAAUAUGACAGAACAGUAAGAAAUUGUAUCCGAUGAUGCUAGCAUUCCAGUUUAUUCUAAUUCCAAGACCAACACCAAUACUUAUCCCGCCCAUUCCAACCCAUAGAAGUACCACAAAGCCUCUAUCCAAAAGAGUAAUAAAAUUCGGUUGGGACAUGCCCCCAACCAUAGCUCAAACCAAUAUCUAGAAUAAAAUAAAAAUGUCUAGAAAUAUC
rnacentral:lncRNA from 1 species